rnacentral:snRNA from 1 species
AUGCUUACUUCGGCAGCACAGAUACUAAAACCAGAAUGAUACAGAGCAGAUUAGUAUGGCCCCUGUGCAAGGAUGACAGGGAAAUUUGUGAAGCAUUCCAUAUUUUU